GCUGAUGGCGCCAGUUCCUGGAAGCUAAGCAAGGUCAGCCCUGGCUCGUACCUGAACCGGAGACCACCAGGGAAUCCCAGGGCUGUAGGCU
rnacentral:rRNA from 1 species